rnacentral:rRNA from 1 species
CGCUGGCGGCAUGCCUAACACAUGCAAGUCGAACGAGACCUUCGGGUCUAGUGGCGCACGGGUGCGUAACACGUGGGAAUUUGCCUCGGGGUAUGGAAUAACUCAGGGAAACUUGAGCUAAUACCAUAUAAUGUCUUCGGACCAAAGAUUUAUCGCCCUGAGAUAAGCCCGCGUAGGAUUAGCUAGUUGGUGAGGUAAAGGCUCACCAAGGCGACGAUCCUUAGCUGGUCUGAGAGGAUGAUCAGCCACACUGGGACUGAGACACGGCCCAGACUCCUACGGGAGGCAGCAGUGGGGAAUAUUGGACAAUGGGCGAAAGCCUGAUCCAGCAAUGCCGCGUGAGUGAUGAAGGCCUUCGGGUUGUAAAGCUCUUUUACUCGGGACGAUAAUGACGGUACCGAGAGAAUAAGCCCCGGCUAACUCCGUG